rnacentral:tRNA from 1 species
GGAGAGAUCGCGUAGCUGGUCGAGCGCGCAUGAUUGGAAAUCAUGUAUACCGCAAGGUAUCGAGGGUUCGAAUCCCUCUCUCUCCGCCA